rnacentral:rRNA from 1 species
ACGCCGCGGUGAAUACGUUCCCGGGCCUUGUACACACCGCCCGUCACACCAUGAGAGUUUGUAACACCCGAAGCCGGUGGGGUAACCUCUAUGAGGAGCUAACCGUCUAAGGUGGGACAGAUGAUUGGGGUGAAGUCGUAACAAGGUAGCCGUAGGAGAACCUGCGGCUGGAUCACCUCCUUUCUAAGGAA